rnacentral:rRNA from 1 species
GCUACUAACGGGACAGCGGGAGGGUAAAGACGUAGGGUGGGAGCUGUAAUCGGAAUUACUGGGCGUAAAGUGUGCGCAGGCCGCCGGGGAAGUCGAGUGGGAAAGCCCCGAGCUUAACUGGGGAACUGCGCUCGAAACUAUUUGGCUAGAGUGUGGCAGAGGGAAGUGGAAUUCCACGUGUAGCGGUGAAAUGCGUAGAGAUGUGGAGGAACACCGAUGGCGAAGGCAGCCUCCUGGGCCAACACUGACGCUCAUGCACGAAAGCGUGGGGAGCAAACAGGAUUAGAUACCCGAGUAGUC